rnacentral:rRNA from 2 species
AGCUCCAAUAGCGUAUAUUAAAGUUGUUGCAGUUAAAAAGCUCGUAGUUGGAUUUCUGGCGGUGUGACUCCGGCCGGCAUGACGUCGGGUCCAGAGCGCGCCACCAUCCUUCUGUCAACCUUCGCGGGAUUCGCUUCCCGCGUCGUGGGCUCAGAUAUUUUACCUUGAGAAAAUUAGAGUGUUUCAGGCAGGCUUUCGCCGGAAUACAUUAGCAUGGAAUAAUAGAAAAGGACUUCAACCUCUUCUGUUGGUCUGAGGGGCUGUAGUAAUGAUUAAUAGGGAUAGUUGGGGGCAUUAGUACUUGACUGUCAGAGGUGAAAUUCUCCGAUUUGUUAAAGACUAACUUAUGCGAAAGCAUUUGCCAAGGAUGUUUUCAUUA